rnacentral:rRNA from 1 species
GACGAAGGAUGCAAGCGUUAUCCGGAUUCAUUGGGUUUAAAGGGUGCGUAGGCGGUCCUGUAAGUCAGUGGUGAAAGCUCUCAGCUUAACUGAGAAACUGCCAUUGAUACUGCAAGACUUGAGUACAGAUGAUGUUGGCGGAAUAUGACAUGUAGCGGUGAAAUGCAUAGAUAUGUCAUAGAACACCGAUUGCGAAGGCAGCUGACAAAACUGUAACUGACGCUGAGGCACGAAAGUGUGGGGAUCAAACAGGG